rnacentral:rRNA from 1 species
AGUGAACGCUGGCGGUAUGCCUAACACAUGCAAGUCGAGCGGCAGCACAGUAAGAGCUUUCUCUUACGGGUGGCGAGUGGCGGACGGGUGAGAAAUACAUCGGCAUCUACUUUUUCUUGGGGGAUAACGGGGGGAAACUUCCGCUAAUACCGCAUACGACCUACGGGUGAAAGCAAGGGAUCUUCGGACCUUGCGCGUUUCAAUGAGCCGAUGUCGCAUUAGCUAGUUGGCGGGGUAAAGGCCCACCAAGGCAACGAUGCGUAGCUGAUCUGAGAGGAUGAUCAGCCACACUGGAACUGAGACACGGUCCAGACUCCUACGGGAGGCAGCAGUGGGGAAUAUUGCGCAAUGGGCGCAAGCCUGACGCAGCCAUGCCGCGUGAGUGAAGAAGGUCUUCGGGUCGUAAAGCUCUGUUGUUAGGGAAGAAAAGAAGUAUAUUAAACCGUCGCUGUCCUGACGGUACCCAAAGAAUAAGCACCGGCUAACUUCGUG